AGCUAAGGCCGGCCAGCGUGCUGAUGAGUCCGAGAGCUGCCAAGAGUGCCCUCUGUGCGGCGGGAGCCGCUGGCUCCCAGACAGGAACGGAUCAAAAAGGAGGGCAGAGGACAGCAGGUUGAGGAAAGGCAGCGACACGGGGGAGGAGAGGGUGCCAAGCCCUCUCAGAAAUCGCCUACAUAUGUCCAUUUGCUUUAUAACUGCAGUAUGGUUUAUUCCAUUUCAGAGGAUGAAUUAAAACGCGAGAGACGGUGAGAGAUGAUACUUCAGCUCAGCGGAAAAUAAAAUGCGGUCCAGAUGAUGCAACUUUGUAAGAGCCCUCCAAGUUGGAAGUUGAACAGUUAGUAGAGAGCAAGGGGAAAUGCCUUACUUUUUCUGAUGUUAAAGCCUAUGCUCAAUAGUCAGCAAAGCCCAGGCAUGUUAUUGAUGUUGGUAUCCAGCCUUAUAAGAACUGGCUACAUGCAGCUUACAGGGCAAGAAUUCUACCUGGAUUUCGUUGCUGUGUGGAAGGAAGAGUGGCCAUGCUACAGACCAGCUAACCUGAAGGACUGAGCUACACUCAGCUGUGCUGUGUUUUUCAUUCCUGUCACACUGAAUAUAUUAUUACUCCUUCCCGAUGAGGACUACGUGAGGGACUUAGAGACCAACUUCCCAAGUAUUCACAAGUUCUUACUGUAGGAAUAAAAACAGAAAGGCAAGAAGAGGACA
rnacentral:lncRNA from 1 species